GUCUACAGACGUGGUACCCUGAACUAGCCCAAUAUCUGAUCUCGGAAGCUAAGCAGGGUUGGGCCUGGUUAGUACUUGGAUGGGAGACCACCUAAGAAGACCAGGUGCUGUAGGCA
rnacentral:rRNA from 1 species